CCUAUGGGUGGCUGCAGUGGGGAAUAUUGGACAAUGGGCGAAAGCCUGAUCCAGCCAUGCCGCGUGUGUGAAGAAGGCCUUCGGGUUGUAAAGCACUUUCAGUGGGGAAGAAAGCCUUGGGGCUAAUACCCUCGAGGAAGGACAUCACCCACAGAAGAAGCACCGGCUAACUCCGUGCCAGCAGCCGCGGUAAUACGGAGGGUGCGAGCGUUAAUCGGAAUUACUGGGCGUAAAGCGCGCGUAGGCGGUCUGAUAAGCCGGUUGUGAAAGCCCCGGGCUCAACCUGGGAACGGCAUCCGGAACUGUCAGGCUAGAGUGCAGGAGAGGAAGGUAGAAUUCCCGGUGUAGCGGUGAAAUGCGUAGAGAUCGGGAGGAAUACCAGUGGCGAAGGCGGCCUUCUGGACUGACACUGACGCUGAGGUGCGAAAGCGUGGGUAGCAAACAGGAUUAGAUACCCUGGUAGUC
rnacentral:rRNA from 1 species